CAUGGCCUCCCCACGUUUCUUUUGAAGUAAUCAAAACCAAAUAUGGACCAUCGAUAGACCUCAUCAUGAAGUAUUACCAGAUGACCCUGUUAAGGAUUUCAUCAUCCUCUUUACAAGUAAUCUCCCUUUUAUUGGUUUUUUUUUCAACAUGGCCCCCUCUCGUUGUUUUUGAAGAUAUCAUUACCUUUUUUGGAUGAUAGGUAGAUUUCAUAAUGAUGUAUUACCAUAUGAGGCUACGUAGGAUUACAUCAUCCAUUUAGAAAGUUAUAUCCCCUUGAGACAAUUUUUUUUUAUUUGCAUUUUACUUUAAAAGUAUGAGAUAGAACCGAUUUCAAAAUGGCAGCAUGUACAAGAACAG
rnacentral:lncRNA from 1 species